rnacentral:hammerhead_ribozyme from 1 species
AUCCAGCUGACGAGUCCUAAAUUGGACAAAAUGCGUAUCCUGGAU